ACUUUUUCCUCUUCCUGGAAAACUAAACGCUUCAAAGAUCGGUCCUUUCGGGACAGCAGAAGCUAUAAACCAGGAAGGGAGUAUUCUAGAAAUUCCUCUUGGAAAAGCUUUUCCCAUUUAUCGACCAAUAAGACUUCCAGAGGGAGAGGAUCUAGAACCUCUGGGAAGAACUUCUGAAGGUCUUCAGGCCCAUUCGGGGAUUGUGGGAGGAAGACUAAGGUUCUUCUACACGGUACCACAGACGUCUAGGUCAAUUCCAUCAUUAAAGAAGGUUACAGAAUAGAGUUCUCCGCUUACCCAUAAUCCGCUCUCUUCAGGAAGUCGAGGGUGUGGA